rnacentral:rRNA from 1 species
UUUGAUCCUGGCUCAGAACGAACGCUGGCGGCAGGCCUAACACAUGCAAGUCGAGCGCACCCUUCGGGGCGAGCGGCGGACGGGUUAGUAACGCGUGGGAACAUACCCAAUGGUACGGAAUAGCCUCGGGAAACUGAGAGUAAUACCGUAUGUGCCCUUCGGGGGAAAGAUUUAUCGCCAUUGGAUUGGCCCGCGUUAGAUUAGAUAGUUGGUGGGGUAAUGGCCUACCAAGUCUACGAUCUAUAGCUGGUUUUAGAGGAUGAUCAGCAACACUGGGACUGAGACACGGCCCAGACUCCUACGGGAGGCAGCAGUGGGGAAUCUUAGACAAUGGGCGCAAGCCUGAUCUAGCCAUGCCGCGUGUGUGAUGAAGGCCUCAGGGUCGUAAAGCACUUUCGCCAGAGAUGAUAAUGACAGUAUCUGGUAAAGAAACCCCGGCUAACUCCGUGCCAGCAGCCGCGGUAAUAAGGG